AGCGAACGCUGGCGGCAGGCCUAACACAUGCCAGUCGAACGAACUCUUCGGAGUUAGUGGCGGACGGGUGAGUAACACGUGGGAACGUGCCUUUUGGUUCGGAAUAACUCAGGGAAACUUGUGCUAAUACCGAAUGUGCCCUUCGGGGGAAAGAUUUAUCGCCAUUAGAGCGGCCCGCGUCUGAUUAGCUAGUUGGUGAGGUAACGGCUCACCAAGGCGACGAUCAGUAGCUGGUCUGAGAGGAUGACCAGCCACACUGGGACUGAGACACGGCCCAGACUCCUACGGGAGGCAGCAGUGGGGAAUCUUGCGCAAUGGGCGAAAGCCUGACGCAGCCAGGCCGCGUGAAUGAUGAAGGUCUUAGGAUUGUAAAAUUCUUUCAACGGGGACGAUAAUGACGGUACCCGGAGAAGAAGCCCCGGCUAACUUCGUG
rnacentral:rRNA from 1 species